rnacentral:rRNA from 1 species
UACGGGGGGGGUAAGCGUUGUUCGGAAUUACUGGGCGUAAAGGGCUCGUAGGCGGCCAACUAAGUCAUACGUGAAAUCCCUCAGCUUAACUGGGGAACUGCGUGUGAUACUGGAUGGCUUGGAUUUGGGAGAGGGAUGCGGAAUUCCAGGUGUAGCGGUGAAAUGCGUAGAUAUCUGGAGGAACACCGGUGGCGAAGGCGGCAUCCUGGACCAAUAUUGACGCUGAGGAGCGAAAGCCAGGGGAGCAAAACGGGG